GUUCUAUUUUCCUGAGAUGUGGAAACUGAAGUGUCACGUGAAAAAAAAAAAAACAGCAAAAGUUUAGAUAGAAAUACAAACUUGGUUAAAUAAAUGUAUUGUAUAUUAGGUGAGGAGUUUUGAUCAAUAAAGAGAUUAGACUGUAGAGUUCUUCCUUCUCGACAAAUAACCCUAUCUGUUACCUUUAAGUGAUGGUAUCGAUUGACAUCUGCUAAUUGGUUAUUUUGCUGAUGCUAAUGAUUUAGAGAGAAAAGAAUGAUGCAGACCCGAAUAAAUCAAAACUUAGAAAAAUGAGGACAAUACAUCAUAGAUAGAAAAUAAAAUGAUUGGAUUAUAGAUUCAACCUUAUCACUGUAUUUAAUACUAAGUAACAAAUAGUUGACACUGAAUUUGCAUGGUGAGGUUUGACUAUAAUAGUGGAUUUAGAAGGAAGCUAAAAAAUGAAGAUAUUCUAGAUCAGGAGAAUAUAGUUUAAAGAAGCAGUGAAGUCAAGAAUACCAAUAUUUGCAGACAGAAAUUUUUGAGGUAAGCCACUUCACCUUUGAGGUAAGCUGAAGAUGAACAGUAACAGCCAACUGAGAGUAUAUUUGUUAAAUGUAACAAAGAGAUAUGAUUAUUAAGUUAUUAGUGUCAUACAAACUACCUGUUUGAGGAAGUAAGUGUAAGCCAAAAUACAAAAUCUUUUAAGGAAUUUUUAUCGGUAAUCUAGUAAUGAGUUUCUGAAAGUUGUUUCUAUAACAUUAUAGCACCAAAGGUUGUGUGUGUUUGUGUGUGUGCGUGUGCGCAUGCGUGCACCUGAGGCUGUGCAUGUGUGUGCACAUGUGUUUGUCUUUCGCACUUUUAGACCUUAAAGAAUGAAUAUACACCGAGCCUAAUGUGUUUAUAGUAUUUCUGAAUCUAGGCUAAUUGCCUACUCAUAGGGAUCAUGUUUAAAAUAAAGCUAUGUUUGUACGUAUGUAAUGUUGUGAAUCAAGUGGAAGAGAUGUCUGUACUGAAGGCUCACAUCACAGAUACUACAUUUAGGGGAAAAAAACCUAGAAUUUUAAUUUAGACAAGAAAUACUUUUGCAAGUGGUUGUUACUGAUAUCAUGUAAUCUUUUUUUUUUUCCUCAUAAACUAUUUGUUUUACCUUUUUUCUUUGCUAACUUCUUUUCUGCAAUUCCACUUUUGUUUCAUAUCUGUGCCUCAGACUUGCCUGGGUUUUUAUGGGCACAUAUGAACAUUGCUUAGCAGUUUUUCUGACUCAUAUUAUAAGGACAUUAUGAAGCAUUAGUCUUGAUUUUUAUAUUUUUUUAGACUGUGUCUCUUGUAUCCCAGAUUGGCCUUGAGCUCACUGGCUAGGUAGCAAGGGCUGACCUUGAAUUUCUAUUUAUCCUGCCCCUACUUCCUCAGUGCUGAGAUUAGUCAACCUUCUCAGGCACCUCUUGUUUGUUCAGUGCCCUUGGGGCUGGAACCCAAGGCUUCACCAAUGCUGGGUAAGCACUCUCUUAACUCCCCUACAUACAUCUCUAGUUCUUGUUCAUAAUUUUUGCUAGCACACCUUAAAAGGUGUAGAUCAUAAAUAUGUAUUGCAGCAUGCUAUUGUAAAACAAUAAACAUUAAUACAACCAUCACUUGACUGAAGAUGUAAACAUUCGAACUACCCUAGAAGCUUCUGAACAUUUUGCAUACUGCUCUUUCCGCAGAAUUCUCAGUCCUACUUUCUAACCUUGAUGCCUCUACCCACAGAUAUACAAUCUUCCUCUCAUUGAGCUUGCAUUGAUUUUGAAACAGUUUUGAAUAUGAAUUUUAUCUUAUCCCUAUUUUUUUCUGUUAGCCCUUUCACCUUUCUCUCGUAUUAUACAUUCCUCAGACCCACUUAAAUAUCAUCUAACACAUAGAUGCCUAUUUCUUAAGGAAGAAAGUCAAGUACUGUCAUAAGCAGGAAUAUAGGUCUGAUGCUGAACCUAUGUUCUUCCUGCCAAAUAAACUACCUGGUAGAAGUCUUUAAUAUUAUAAAUAAGCACAUAUAUAAGUAGUCAUUUUUAGACUAGCCUAAGUAUGAUCCUUCAGAAUAAAACUACUAAAACACAUGAAGUAUUUUAUGGCAUAAUAUUUUGCAUAAACAAUUAGCUUUUAUUUUGGAAAAUCUAAGAUUCAAAAUACUCACCGUUAAUGUUUAUAAUACUAGUGUUAGCUCUUAAAAAUCUUUGCAAAUAAUAUAUAUUAUAUUUGAUAGAGGUUUUUAAACAAUAGAAGGUUUUAAAAACUACCUAAUAUGAUUUCAGUAUAUUAUUUUUUGUUAUUUUACUGUGUCCUGCUAUUAAAUUACAAAUAUUUGCAACAUUUUUAUUUGUAAACAGGGUCUCAGUAGCCCAGGCUGACCCCAGUCUCCUUAUCUUUCUUCCUUUCUACCUUUUGAGUACUGGAUUUACAGCUGUGAAUCACCAUACUUGGGUACUAAGGUUUCAACUUAGGGCUUCUUGCAUGCUAAGUAAGCACUCUACUAUCUGACUACAUCCUCAUGCCAGUACCUUUAUAACUUUAAACAUUCAAAACAUUUGGUCAUUGUUUAAUAUGCCUUUUAAGCAUUGGCUACACUAACAUGAUCAAGUUAGAAACAAUAACAGCAUAAGAGUCCAUUCAGUAAAAGAUUUUCUUCCCUGAGUUUGUUCUACUUGAAUCAAACUUUUUUCUUUUUUUAAAAAUAAAUAAAUAUCCAAUGAGAGUUUGAGGGAAAGAGAUGGACAGACCAAGGAAACUUAACUAAAAUAAACUUAGAAAUAGAUCCACGUGAAUGUCUGGAUUUCUGUAGUUUCCAAGUAAGAAUGAUCUUUUUCUAUAUAAAUAAUGUGGUUGCUGGAUAUUACUUUAGAAAUGAAAACUGACUCCUCACUAAUGCAGUAUAAAAGAUAGAGUGC
rnacentral:lncRNA from 1 species